rnacentral:rRNA from 1 species
UACAGAGGGUGCGAGCGUUAUUCGGAAUUACUGGGCGUAAAGCGUGCGUAGCCGGUUAUUUAAGUCGGGUGUGAAAGCCCCGGGCUCAACCUGGGAAUUGCAUUCGAGACUGAAUAGCUAGGGUACGGUAGAGGGAAGCGGAAUUUCCGGUGUAGCGGUGAAAUGCGUAGAUAUCGGAAGGAACAUCAGUGGCGAAAGCGGCUUCCUGGACCAGUACCGACGUUCAGGCACGAAAGCGUGGGGAGCAAACAGG